CGUGAUCCGUUAAUACUUUAAGUUCUUCAAUCUUCUUUCUGACACACAUUUAUUUAAGCUAGAAACUACAUUCAAGCCUCAACAUGCUGAUUUGCCUGUGAGGGAGACUCCGUGAUGAUCUAUAUCAGCUGACACUCCGCGGCUGCGCCACUGAGCUAGAGAAGGAAUCAGGAAGUGCAGCGAGCAGAAAGGAUGAAAAGAGACUGACUGAAGAUGAGUGAUGUGGAGGAAAAGAAGGACAGCCGUCGUCCAUGAAGGGGGACGGGUCCACAGAAAGGCCUCCAGACUGCAGUGAUGAACCCUCAGACACAAAGCAGAGAGCAGAGUCUCCAGCAUCCAGCUGUCUGUCUAUGAAGAGUGACUGGUCCAAAGAGAGGCCUCCAAACUUCAGUAAAGAACGUGAACCCUCAGACACAAAAGAGAGGAAGAGGAGUCCUGUUCCUGUGGAGGAGCAGCCGUCCUGCUGUGCUUUGUGUCA